CCCAGCCUGGGUGACAGAGGGAGACCCUGUCUAAAAAAAAUAAAAAGUGAGUUAUGAUGCAAUAAUCUAAAUGACCUUCUUUCAUAAUUACUUACUAAAGGUCUACAACUGUGUCAUCUGAAGCCAAGCCCAACUACCAUUUAGAAGUAACCAUUUCCCCUUUUUCAAGAAAUUACUCCAAUGUCAAAAAAGUGUAAGAAAAAAGUGAUGUUUCCACUAAUUUACAGAUUGUGUCUGUCAAAUAGUUAUGAAUGUAUACUAUUUUCAACUAUAAGUACAACAUAAACUUCCCUAACUAAGCUUAAAUCCAACAUUCUUAGUCAAAAACAAACUGGCAGACAGCUUUUUUAAAAAGUGACUAACCAAUCUUUCUGCUUAUUCUGAGUAUCUGCUGCAGCUAUUAGCAAAUUCAUAAAUUUCCCUAACAGAGUCACUUUUAAUUCAUUUCAGGCCUUCACACAUCACACUGACUUAUCAGUCCCCACAGAGCCCACUAUACUGAGUCUCUCAUACUAUGGGCCAAAUAUAAACAUCAGAAAAAAGGUCCCUACUAGUGAAGGAUACAAUGCUAAGUGCCGUACAAGGCUAAGGAAUACCCACGAAACACUUAACAUUUAAAAUUCAAGAGUGAUAAUAAUGUACUAUUUACUGGGCACCUUCUUUAUGGCACUAUCCUUGGAAAACUACAGCAAAGCUAUAGGACAUUAGGUAGCAGCCAAAUGUCUUUCAUUGCUUUCAAGCAAAACUUUAACAUUUCUACGUGUACUGAAUAUUUUUGGUCUACAAAAUCCAAAGACGCUUUCUAGUAAUUUAAGACCUCACAAGCAUUCUGAGUCUCCUCUCCCUCCUGAAAAUGAGUGAAGGAGGCAAGUUAAUCUUUUUUAAGUUAGCAAUACUAGUUACAAUUGAGGAUUUGUGAAGGACUAUACAGAAAUCUGCUGCACAUAAACCACACUAUUGAAAGGAAAUCCCAGGGUUCAUUCUGUCCAGCCACCCUUCUGAUACUUGAAUACUUUCUAUUACAUUGUCACCAGUAUCUGUUCAGCAACAUAUUAAAUGGGAUAUCUGAUAGGUAUAAUUUGAUUUGUAACAUUGUUUUUAUCUACCCAAGAGAUACACUGCAUCCACACACUUGCUCCCUGGAACGUGCUAGUAUCUUCCAUUCCGGAGAGCUUACUUUCUGACCGCCUAGUAUUCAGAUAACCCAAAUAAUCACCAUCACUUCUCUUUAGUGGAACACUCACAGUGCUCAGGAAUCCUUGUUUUCCUUUAUCAAACUACCAGCAUUUCUAAGCUUUUUCUACUUUGAAAGACUAAUUUCCAUGCCCUGAAUCAUUCUCAGACCGUCUCAUAAAACAAUCUCAGUGAAGCAGGAAAUAAGGUAAAUGUCAUACAUCCCCAACAUCUUAAUUUAUACCUCUCAAAAUUUUCUCUCCACCCAUUUUCCCUAACCUUGUCCUCAGCCUCAAAUGACAAGAUGGCCUUCCUCUUAAGGCUAAAGCAAUACUUUCAGUUCAGCCUCCUUACCUCCUUUCUACAACUCUGCUCUAUCAAUUGUUCUGUAUUUCUUGUAUUUUCAGUGGUUUAUGCUAGGUUUCUUGCUAUCGAAAACUUUUGUUUUAAUAACCCUAACCUUGUUACCAUCAGAAUAAUAAUUAUACUUCUACUAACUGCAAAAUCUUAUAAGAUUGGUAUAUACACUUCAUACUACCAUUCAUUAGCUAUUACUCCUUUAUCUAACUUCCUACCCAUCACUCAACUGCAAGUACUUUCUUUAAAUCUUUGUAACCAAAUCCAGUGGUCUUUUCUCAAUCUUUAUUCUUGACAUCUCUAGAGCAUUCAAUGCUGUUGACUAUAUCCCUACCUAUAUAGAAUGUUCUCCUCAUACAAUACUACCUAUUUUUCUUGUUUGUCUUGUUUCAAACCUUCCAAUUCCUAUGUAUAGUUAUCCCAAGACUCUCUGUUGUUCCCAAAUGAAAGAGUAUAGAAAACUAAAGUUCACAAGCGACAGCGACACAAGGUGGCAGCCACCACUGGCUCAGGAGUAAAAGUCUCUUGCAAUUUCCCACUUUUUGAAGAACUCAAAGAACGCCAAAAAGGAGUAGGAGAUGGCACAGUUAGCUGAGGUCUAGACGAUGAUAAAGACAUGACACUUACAAGAUGGACAGGUAUGAUAACCGGGCCUGCAAGAACAAUUUAUGAAAACUGAAUAUACAGCCUUAAAAUAGAAUGUGGACCACCCAGAAGCAUCCCCCUUUGCAAGAUUUGUAACAAAAAAUUAAUAUGAACGGAGUUAAUAGUUCUAAUGGAGUGGCAGACCCAAGAGCCACAUUAGUGCUAGCAAAAUGGCAGAAUUCAUAGCACCAAAGUUGUCCUGCAAGACCUUUGGCGCGUAAUGGUGUCUAAAGAAAAUAUGAAACUCCCUCAGCCACCUGAAGGCCAGUGUUACAGCAAUUAAUCGAAAAGAAAAACCACAGGCCCUUCCCCUUCCCCUUCCCCCCACCGCCCCAUUCAAUUUAAGCAGUCUUCAUUUUCCACAGUAGCCAAUUUUCUAGAUACGUCUUGUAGACUUCAAAGUACUGGAAAGGAAGCUACCAUUCAAAGGAAAUUUAUCUUAAGAUACUGUAAAACUAAUAUCUGGUCCAUUUGAAAUAUAUAAGUUGUGCUAUAACAAAAAAAGAAAGAAAGAGAAUUAAAGUUCACCUGGUCAACAAGCAAUUCUAUGCAGCUAAUUUCCAAAACAUUAUCUCCAGUUCUGUCCCUCUAAGUUUUUGUUGGCCAUCUCUACCUCCCAUUAAAUUAAAUUCAUCACCUUUCCCCAAAAACAACAAAAUCCCUCACUAGUCAAUGGUACACAAUUCUAACCUUACUGGCACGCUUUGGAGCCAUCUUUGAGCCCCUCCCCUUUUUCACCAGUCUGCCAAUGACUGUCUUGUUGACUCUUAUUGUACAAGCAUGUCUUUAAAAAAAUUUGCCUCCUCUUCUCCAUUUUUAGAACCACUAUCCUACUCUAGACCUUCAUGACUUUAGGCUUAAAAUAUCCUAAUAGUAAGUUAUCUUGAUAUUUUCCCUUUUCCUUUUCUACUUCUAAUACUUUUACUUUAGCCAACUCAAAAGCCAUUCUGAUUCCCCUUGCCUAAACUUACAUAAAGCCUCAAUACCUCAGCCUUACCACCAUGACUUCUACCUAGGACCCUAAAUUUAUCUUUUAUAGUCUCUGCAUCAUACACACAGGUUUCAAAACAUGUAAACUGGGAGUACAUCACACCCAUCAUCAUGGAGUAUUCAUUUUUCCGCCCACUCCAUACUACUUCUCUUUUUCUCCCAGCAAGCAAGUCCUUCCCAGUCACAGUCAAACCUUACCUACUCUGUAACCCUUUCUAAUUGACUCAGCUUUACUUCUUUUAAUCCUUAGUCUUUAGCAUGUACAUAUUAGCUUUUUUUUUUUUUAAAGCAUACUUUCUACCUCUAGCAUCUCAGCCUAGAUCCAUACAAGGUAUACAGGAACCGUACCUUAUAACUAAUUUUACCACCAAUGCCUACUACAGUUCACUGCACACAGAAAUAUCAUAUACAUAUUUACUAAUAUUUUGGCGUUUUUAUUUGUUUUGAGACGAAGUCUCACUCUGUCACCCA